AUUGAACGCUGGCGGCAUGCCUAACACAUGCAAGUCGAACGGCAGCAUGAUCUAGCUUGCUAGAUUGAUGGCGAGUGGCGAACGGGUGAGUAACGCGUAGGAAUAUACCUUAAAGAGGGGGAUAACUUGUGGAAACGCAAGCUAAUACCGCAUUAGCUCUGAGGAGUAAAGCUGGGGACCUUCGGGCCUGGCGCUUUAAGCAUAGCCUGCGUCCGAUUAGCUAGUUGGUGGGGUAAAGGCCUACCAAGGCGAUGAUCGGUAGCUGGUCUGAGAGGAUGAACAGCCACACUGGGACUGAGACACGGCCCAGACUCCUACGGGAGGCAGCAGUGGGGAAUAUUGGACAAUGGGGGGAACCCUGAUCCAGCAAUGCCGCGUGUGUGAAGAAGGCCUGAGGGUUGUAAAGCACUAUCGUCGGGGAGGAGGGCUUGAAGGUUAAGAGCUAUUAAGUUGGACGUUACCUGAAGAAGAAGCACCGGCUAACUCCGUGCCAGCAGCCGCAGUAAAAC
rnacentral:rRNA from 1 species